rnacentral:rRNA from 1 species
AGUACCGUGAGGGAAAGUUGAAAAGUACUUUGAAAAGAGAGUGCAAUAGAACGUGAAACCGGUAUAAUGGAAGCAUAUGGAGUUGACGUAUCUGGUACGUAUUCAGUUGUUCGGGUUGGCCGAUUGUUGUGUUGUCCGUUCCGCAAGGUCGGCGGCACGGUAUUGUCGGUUGGCUCGGCGAUGCAUUUGCGUACGGAGUGCGCCGAGUCGUGUGGCGUUGUCGGUCGAAGUCGUUCGCGAGGACAUUGCCUUAACGGGCGGUGAAACCUCGGACGGUGCGGGCCGGUUGGCGUUGCGCGUCAUUGUGGAGUUAUGGGCCAUUGAGUGGGUGCUGGUCCGGCGGGUUGUAUCGUUGUUUCACGCAUGCGUGGCGCUUUGGUGCGAUUUGUCGGGUUGGCGCGUUCUCUCCGUACUCUUCUCGGCGUCUAGUCAAUGACCCAUUUGACCCGUCUUGAAACACGGACCAAGGAGUUUAUGGUGUGCGCGAGUCAUUGGGCUUUUACGAAACCCAAAGGCGUAAUGAAAGUGAGAACCUUUUCAUGGUUCUGAGUAUGAACGGUGCGGUGUUUCGAUGCCGUCCGUGCAAUACUGCCCCGUUGCUAGGACUUGUCCUGCUGCGGAGGUUGAGCGUACGCUAUGAGACCCGAAAGAUGGUGAACUAUGCCUGAACAGGAUGAAGUCAGAGGAAACUCUGAUGGAAGUCCGAAGCGGUUCUGACGUGCAAAUCGAUCGUCUGAUUUUGGUAUAGGGGCGCAAGACUAAUCGAACCAUCUAGUAGC